CGAAGCCAACCGUUACACCGGAGUCAACAUUCAUGCUAGCGGAGGGAGCAGCAGGAGCAGCGAGACCCUCCUGCCUGGAAACGUGAGUGAUAACGUCUUGAAUGACAGUAGAUUACCGAGCUGCUGUACCUCCUCCUCGAGCUGUGUGGCGCUGUCGCUGCUUCCUGCUUCCUUUUUGACGAAGAAAAAAACUCUUACAUCUAUUUUUUUCAAUGCUUACCGGUGAGUCCGGCUUCCGCCGCUAUGAAUAUUUGAACUUUAGCUCGGUAAACGGACCAACCCCCUUUACCUGUAAUUGGCUAAUAUGAUGCCUUCGAUUGAUUGGAUUGAUUGAUAUGUCAAGAUAGAUGGGAUUAACUGAAGAUGACUACUCUGACGGAAAAAACAAACCCCAAAUCAAAUUAAUAGAAAAUGUUGCUUUUAGUCCAGGGUGGGCAUCUGAAGGUAUCUCUGGUGCGAAAGGUUUGUGCAUCUGCAACAUGUGAUUUGUAGUUGUGUAAAGUAAAUCUGUAUGUGUAUUAGUAAAUGUGAAAUCACACACUCUAUGAGUUGUGUACUGGUAGAUGUACUAUGACAAAAUUUGAAUAUGUGCAGAUCUUCAUGUGAACUUAUUCAAAAAAAAAAAAAAGGUAAAUUUAUGUACAAUAGGCUUUGACAAAAUUAGUUGUGUUGUUUUGAAAAACAAAUAAAAGUCGAUAAUUACAACACCCGGAAUCUUCCCUACGAGUCACAGAUUGUGUUUCCAACAGCUACAAAAUAAUUGAGUGAGAUUGACGGCUUUUUCAACCAAUCAUAGGUGAUGGCAUCUCGUGUCACAAAAACAAUUGUGUUUUUAAAAAAGGUUUCCUGGUGAAAAGAGAGAAAGUAAGGAAGGAAGGAGGUGAAAAAAGAGGGAAGAAAAAGAAACUGAAAAAAAUGGAAAAGGGGGAGGAAUGAAAGAAGGAUGGAGGAAAGGAAAAAAGGGCAGAAGAAAGGAAGGAAAGAAAGUUUGGAAGGAAGGAAUGAUGGAAGGAAGAAGGAAAUGAGAACAGAGGAAAGGAAGGGCACAGAGGUUUACGGGUGUUUUAUGUCUUAAAGAAAGUUAAACUUUUCUUGAUUCAGACAGAGAACAGUCGAUUUUUCUCAAACUGGUUUAUUAAUCUGGUCGUGAAGUUGUGAAUUUAUGAGCUGAAACUAAAAACUAAAUAUUCUCUUUUUUUUUCAUUUAUUGGUUUUUCAUAAAAAGCUCUCAGGCUGGACGCCGUGUCGUGUCAGCAGAUGUGAUUAAUCUCCUGUUUACUGUUGCUAACCCUCUUUGAUUGUCUCACAUUCACCAUCCAUAAAUCAGCUUUUAUCGCUCGUUUGUACUUCCUGAUCUCUGACGCUUAAUUAACAAGUGUUAAAAGUCUCAAACGAAAACAUUCGUGAACAUUCGCCUCCCAGCAUCAGCGCGGCGUUCGUCACUCCGUGCCAGCUCGCUCCUCUGGCCUGUCCGCACAUUCAUCCAUCAUGUUAUCAUGUGCCCACCCUGGAUAAGGCCGCAGCUUUUGGCCAAAGCUGAUCCUGUCAUCGCCGCAGGAUUGGGCUCCAAGAUAACCGCCGUGUGGUCCAGCUGUUCCCAGCACUCAGCAGAUCCACAAUGGUUCGCUUGUGCUGGGAGCUCGGAGUGGGAGAGUUGUUGCUCGCUACAUAAGCCCUUCCUCGAGACCAGGGAUUGCGUCAGCGGUGCACAGCUGUGCAGCCCAGAGCCGCAGGACUGUGUGAGUUAAAACAAGGAGAGACGAUCCCAGGUGUGUGUUCGCGGUCGCACAAACUCUGAUAAUCACCUGCAGACGGGGACGAAGCUCCUGUCGAGUCGCUGCACAGAGUUUUGUGCGGUCGUCAGCCCAAACAUUUCUCAAACAUGUUGUACAAUAUUUUCAUCAUCACCCUUGUAGUAUUGGCAGCAUGACGAAGCGAUUCGUCGCUCCGGCCAAUGAAAUGUCAGCAGCACAUACGUCACCGGUCAUUGUUGCUCACAUGGAAUGUACGGCUUCAAAGAGUUGGAGAGAAAUUGCUGCUGCCCUCAAACAACCUGGGGAACCGAAUGUCAGCUGCCCGACGGAUCAAUAACUCCAUGUUUUACUGCGUUUGUGAGAGCGGUAGGGACGUUACUGAGGAGUCUGUACGUUACUGCGUCAUGGAAAGUGUUAAAAAUACGUGUGAAUACUUCAAAUAUUCAAUAAAAUCAGAGGUUAAAAAGAAAAGUCUCCUGACAUGUUUUUCAUGAAGAAUAGAUCUGACUGUAAAAUCCACUCGCUUCGUGAGACCAGCAGCUUUUAAAGGCAUGAACCUCGUUUCUAUGGCGAUCAUGGUCCUAUAGCGCGAUCUCCACAAAGUAAAGAGAAAAAAAGAACGGGAAAAAUCCGUUCACCUUAGCAGCUGCAGGGCUGCAGAAACAUUGACCAAUGGGAGCCAUCCGUCCCAGACAGCUUCUAUUGGUCAAUCUCCUGCUCCUCCUCUCCAUCCAAUCACCUCGAUGUAUUUGACACACCCCUCUCCCGUAGUCGAGACUUGUCCCUUCCCACUCUCUCGACCCUCCUCGGAGUUCUGAGCGGCUAAAAGUAGCGUAGCAGCUUAGCUGACGGAGCUGAGAUGGAGAAGGACGGAAAAAAAAACACCUCUGAUUGCCCUACCGCCAAAACAUCCUUUUUUAUCUGGACAUGUUCUCCUUUUUGAGGGCUGUCUGGCCUUGUCCAGCUUUGUCUGGGGAAGUUUAUAAAAUCCUUCAAAUGUCCGCAGUUUUGUACAUUUUGGACGUACUGUUAGAAUAGAAUAGAAUAGAAUAGAAUAUUCCUUUAUUGAUCCCCCAUGGGGGAAAUUUUUUUGUCACAGCAGCAUCAUAGACAAUGAGUGCAAAAAUGCAGUUAUAAAAAUAAGGAUCCUAAUAUUAAGAACUUAAAUAAAUGUAAUAAUUAAGAAAAAAUUUAGAAAAGGGAAAAAGGGAAAAGAAAAAAAUAAAACUUUCUACAUAUAUAUAAUAAAAUAUACAUAUAUAUAGUAUAUAUAAAUAAAACUUUCUCUAGAAGCGCAUAAAAGACACUCGAUUCAACCCGAAAAACUCUCAAAAUUAACUCAGUGCGACUCCAUGACUCCGUGUCCUCUUUUUGGGGAUUCAGAAUAUGGUCACCCUGAUUUUAUCCUUAUGAGUUUGAUGCAAAUUCAUUCUCUGCAAAUUUAAGAAUGAAUGUGUCGAAGUUUUGCAUAAGUUGUGCAGAGACCAAAAGUAUGUCAUGGAUAGAGGCGGUUAUAUUAUGUGAACUGAGAGUGAUUAUGAAGUGCAAAUAACACAAGUGCAUGUUCGUGAUUUGCAACAGCUUCAGUCUCUGCAGACGUGAUCAGGAAUGUGUCAAACUCCAUCAUGUCUGCAGGUUACCGCUCGCUGCAUCGACUCUAUAAGACAGACAGGCCGCUAAAUUGAGUGUCAAGCAGGACAAUUUGAUUAGCAAACCAAGGAGAUACCAACAGCUGAUUUCACACAUUUCUAAAUAGGAAGAGCAGAGUCACACACACUAACACACACACACACACACGUCUCUGUUAGCAGCAAUUUGACGUCAACUUUCUGAUUUCAUACCCUCCAAUCUAGCAGCAGAAACGGGAGUCUGCCUGUGGACACGGCGCCGAGAUGAAAUGGACAGAUAUUCCUGAGUGGAUAACAAACCAACGGCAUGUCUAAUCAAACCUUCGCUGGAUGUAAAAAAGGAAAAAAAAACUCACACACCGUGACAUUUGAACAAAUGGGUUAAUUAGUUUUUAAAAAGCCGGCACUUAAACGCGUUUGUUUCUUUGUGAGUACGAGUCGUAAAGUUCCCGCAGAGGGCUGCAGGGGCCAAAAGAUUCACUCUAAAUGUAAAUAAGUGGUGUUUUAAACCGCUGUUAGCCACACGCUUGUUAGAGCGGGAGAUAAACCGAGUAGCCUGUUCUCCAGGGGGUCAAGUCCCUAAUUAACCCAAAAUCGCUUUGUCAUUUUCUCAUUCGAUUACGCCGACGAAUUCAGCGCCGCACCGCCGAGAGAUAAAUACAAGUUUAAGUCUCUUUCUUUUCGCCUCAUUGCAGAUGGAUGGAGGAUAGGUGAGAUAAAGCUGCUCUUUAUUUAGGGAGUUUAAAAUAAAAAUAAAGAUGCUGAUCAGAUAUGAAACAUUUGGAAAUCUACUUUAUCUAAUGAGUGAAUCUCUGCAGCGUUUUUUUUUUUUAAAGCUCCAGGAAAGGAGGGAAAGACGGGACGGAGGCAGACUGAAGGUCAGAGCCGCAGCGCUGGAAGGAAGUGGAGAUAGGUUUGUGUGGUAGAUGAGGAAGUAUAUGAUUCAAAUCUACGAUAGCGCAGCCGCGGGGAGGUUUUUCGCCUUAACCUGCUGAGCCACCAUUCCUCCAGCUGAGGGGAAACAAUCUAAAUUGCAUCAGAGAAGCGGUGGCACCAUCGUAGUAAUAACUGCGAUCAGCUGGAGCGAUAAGAAAAAUGGGAGAGAUUGAUAAGGUGGAGUAGAUUAUGCAAUGUCCUGCUACUCUUUAUGACUCAGAUAAGUGUGCGUGUGUUUAACCUUCACUCAGCUGGAGGAGGAAGAGCGAGGAAGACGGAGGGACGGAGAUUGGAGAUAAAAUGUAGGAUAAGGAGAGGGAGGACCAGUUCAGUAAAACACAGUCCUCCCACUACAUCCAUUAAAAUUAACUCUUUUCUUAAUAAUUAAUUAACUUUUAAUGUCAACGUCUUCUCUGAACAAACAGUCGGGUUAUUUGCGAACAAUCUGACUGCUAGAACCCAGACUGUUCGAUCCACACUGGGGUUCUACAAGGUUCAGUUCUGGGCCCACCUCUAUUUACUGUUUACAUGAACGUUUCAGACAGGAUGUGCCAAAUGCUGCUUUAAACCCUCACACUGACGACACUCAUUUAUGUCCUUCAGCACGUGUUUGAUUUAGUAUAAGAGCGAGUGUUGUAGUAAAGACCGUACCAGCCGAGACCAAGAGAUCGAGAUUAUAAAGUAUCAAGACCAAGACCAAGACCAUGAGUCUUUAGAUUGAAGAAAAAUCACAAUAAAACUCAACAAACGACCAGUAUCUUUCUUUUUAAUCAAGUCUGAUUUCACAAAAAUUUCAGAUUGGACGUUUUCCUGGUGUAGCUAUCAAACGGUUAAUUUACUUGUCUUCAUGCGUCGUUCAUGAGUUGUGUUUUCACUUGCAUGUCCGUUUACAGAUAAAGUCCAUAUGGUUUUCGAAACUGAACCUAAUAAUAGUUGAGUUCGCUGACAUUUUUUACGGCGAGUUUCCCGGGAGCGCAGCGUCUUUCGUCAUCAUCAGCUCUGUGCAGAGGGAAAGUCAUUCCAGGUGUGUGACACUAAAGCAGCUGCUUUAUUCUUCUUUUUUUGUUCGGUCUUGAUCAAAAAUCCGAACACCGAGACGAGACUGAGUAGAAAUGCCUUUGACUCUGAGACCAGACCAGGACGGUGAAAACGGUCUCAUUGGGGAAAGCCGUUAGCAAAGAAGAGUGUGAGAUUGAGUUAGUGUCUCAUCUGGGUUUUUUAAUCAAUGAAAGUCUUUUAAGGAGCAUAUUCAGUUUGUUACGAAAGGAUUUGACAAAUUAGUUAAUGACUUUAACCAACCAAAACCCUUUGGUUAAGUUGUUUUGGGGGCUAACAUAGGGUGACCAUAUUCUGAUUCCUCAAAAAGGGGACACUAAUACACAGGGUGGAGUUGCACAUAUUAAAUUUUGAGAGUUUUUCGGGUUGGUCGACUGUUUUUACAGGCUUCUAACUCGGUUAGUCCACGCUAAACAAACUCAAAUUUUUCAUACAAAACCCGGACAUUUAAAGGAUUUUAUAAACUCCCCUGGACGAGGCCGGACAGCCCCCAAAAAGAGGACAAAUGGUCACCAUAGGCUAACAUAAUCAACAGAGGGUUUUAAGCCCACAAGACCAGCUGGUCAAAGGUGUUUCAAGUCUCUCAGUGAUUCGGAUCCGCCCAGGUUUGACCGUCACUCCUCUCAUUUGCUCGGAAACCACAGUUUAGCAGAAUAAAAACUCGACAGUCCGCUUCCUACACGAGGUCCAGUCUGUAUGAGAGGGAGGACAGAGGAGAAGGCACUCCACUGGGACAAGGAGUCCAGCCAGAGAGAAAAGAAAGUAGAUGUUAAGGAUGGGGUUCCUCAGGGGUCUAACCUCGGUCCUCUGUUCUUUUCACCUUGAAUCACUUUUUUUUUAAAUUGAUUUGUUGCAGGAAAUAGAUAUAGUCAUUUAUUUAUUCAUUGUAAAUGUGUCGGUAUAAUCGUAGGCUGUGAUCAUGACUCUACCCAGAAGAAACAUGUUUCGUUGCAGACAGAUGAGCCCUCAGGUGCUGGUCCCCCCUGCCCUCAGGUGGAUGUGCUUUAACAUCUGUUUAAAUAAGGAGAUCCACCAUGAGAGAUGGGGAUUUCACGCUCAGCUGCACUAAAUCCUUUUAAAGAUGCUGCAGCUCCGGCUCACUUCCCAACAGAGAUAACACGGCUUCGGAAUAAGCGGCGAGGACGUCUCUGCGCUCUGACAGGACAAACGCAGAGCAGAGCCGGCGCUUCAUUAGACAGCAGAACCCCCGAGGGCUCGGAUCCGAGGAAAGACACUUAACCACAUGUGGAGUGAAUCUGUGGAGGGGGGGAUGACGAGGAAUACAGAGGAGAGGACGGG